rnacentral:rRNA from 1 species
UACGUAGGCAGCAAGCGUUGUUCGGAGUUACUGGGCGUAAAGGGUGUGUAGGCGGUUGGAUAAGUGUGGUGUGAAAUCUCCCGGCUUAACUGGGAGGGUGCGCUACAAACUGUCUGACUAGAGUGUGGGAUGGGUAAGUGGAAUUCCUGGUGUAGCGGUGAAAUGCGUAGAUAUCUGGAGGAACACCGGUGGCGAAGGCGGGUCUCUGGGCCGAUACUGACGCUGAGGAGCGAAAGCGUGGGGAGCGAACAGG